rnacentral:Y_RNA from 1 species
AGUUGGUCAGAGUGCAGUGGUGUUUACAACUAAUUGAUCACAACCAGUUACAGAUUCCUUUGUUCCUUCUCCACUCCCACUGCUCCACUGGACCAGUCUUUA